AUGGAAGAAAUAUUGGAGAUUACUGAAGAUCUUGGUCAAGCUUUGCAAAAGAAAUCACAAGACAUAGUAAAUGCCAUGUGCCUAGUGUUUACAACAAAGGUUCGUCUUGAUGAAAUGAGAUCAGAUGAUGGUUGGGAAGCCUUUUUUGAUAGGGUUGUUGAGUUCUGUGUAAAUCAUUCCAUUGAUAUUCCAGAUCUGGGGACUUACAUUAUGCCUGGUGGUCGUGCUCGUCGCCAACCAGACCGUUUUACUAAGGAACAUUAUUUCCGGGUGGAAGUAUUUCAUGCAACACUUGAUACUCAGCUACAUGAAUUAGAAUUCAGGUUCAAUGACAAGGUACUGGAUCUUUUGACCACAAGUGCUACUCUGAUCCCCAAAAAUAAAUUCAGAUCUUUCAAAGCUGAUGAUAUUUGCGAGUUGGUGAAGAAAUAUUAUCCAGCAGGUUUCACUCAACAGGAAAUCUAUGGAUUGGAGCAACAGCUAAAACACUUUGUUGUGGACGCCUCCAAUGAUAAAGAGUUGAAAAAUGUGUCAACCUUAACAAAUCUUUGUCGAUAUCUCUUUGAGACAGGGAGACAUUCUAUCUACAAUUUAGUUGAUCGAUUGUUGCGAUUGCUUCUAACUCUUCCAAUUUCUACAGCAAGUGCCGAGCGAGCAUUCUCUACUUUGAAGAUCAUCAAGACAAGGCUACGUAAUACUAUGGAAGAUGAUUAUCUAGCCAAUAGCUUGCUAGUAAACAUAGAGAAUGAAAUUGUGGAGAAGUACAGCUAUGAAGAUGUUCUUGUGCACUUUAAGGGUGUAAAGAAAUGAAGGGCUGAUCUGUAG
rnacentral:rRNA from 1 species